UACGAAGGGGGGCUAGCGUUGUUCGGAAUCACUGGGCGUAAAGGGCGCGUAGGCGGUUUGGUAAGUUAGGAGUGAAAUGCCGGGGCUUAACCCCGGAACUGCUCUUAAAACUGCCUGACUAGAGUUCGGGAGAGGAUGGUGGAAUUCCUAGUGUAGAGGUGAAAUUCGUAGAUAUUAGGAGGAACACCAGUGGCGAAGGCGGCUCACUGGUCCAUUACUGGACGCUGAGGUGCGAAAGCGUGGGGAGCAAACAGG
rnacentral:rRNA from 1 species